rnacentral:rRNA from 2 species
UCCGAACACGGAAGUUAAGCCCACCAGCGCCGAUGGUACUUGGGACGAGUGUCCCCGGGAGAGUAGGUCGCCGCCGGAU